rnacentral:misc_RNA from 1 species
GUUUAAUUAUAUUUAUAUAUGUAUUAUAUUUAUUAUUAGCUAUUAAUUAAUAUUCUAUUACCAUGGUUGUUAUAAUAACAUAAUUUUAUUAUGCUCAUCAUACAAUAGUUAUUAACAUUAGAAUCUAACUUUGUGCAGUAAAUUUCAAACUAGUUUGAUCAUAUGAAGUUAGUGGUCUUAAUCUUGAUUGUUGUGGGUUCUACCUCAUUUGCUAUCCAAGUUGAGGCCAAAAAUAAGUUUGCUCCACUUGAAUUGGAAGGAAGGGAGAGAAAUUUUUAUCUAUCAUCCCUCAAUUUUGAAAGUUGUUUCAUUUUCAUCAUUUAACUUUAAUUUGUCACCCAAAAAAAAAA